UACGAGGGGGGCAAGCGUUGUUCGGAAUUAUUGGGCGUAAAGGGUGCGUAGGCGGUUUGGUAAGUCUUAUGUGAAAUCUACAGGCUCAACUUGUAGUCUGCAUGAGAAACUGCCGGGCUUGAGUAUGGGAGAAGUGAGUGGAAUUCCUGGUGUAGCGGUGAAAUGCGUAGAUAUCAGGAGGAACACCUGUGGCGAAAGCGGCUCACUGGACCAUAACUGACGCUGAUGCACGAAAGCUAGGGGAGCAAACAGG
rnacentral:rRNA from 1 species